UACUUGGAGCCCUGGGAGUGCACCCGGUUUGGGAAUUGGAGUCUGAGUGCAAGGCACAGUGCUUUUUUUCUUUAUAUAUAUAUAUAUAUAUAUAUAUAUAUAUAUUUUAAUUGGGGUAGCCCACAAAAUAUUGGGACAUAUAAAAAAAGACAACUCUGCUCCACAGAGUAGCUGUUGACAUUAUAGCUGCGCAGGCACUUUGUUGACUCUAGAGAACCUCCCCCGUGGCGGUGACUUUGCAUCCGGAUGUCAUCCAUAUCAACUUUCAAUGCCAGUUUCUGUGCCUACCAUGGUGACCACGGGUAACGGGGAAUCAGGGUUCCAUUCCAUACAGCGACCCUGAGAAAUGGCUACCACAUGCAAGGAAGGCAGCAGGCGCGCAAACGACCCACUCCCGACGCGGGAAGGUAGUGACGACAAAUAACAAUACAGGACUCUUUAGAGGCCAUGUAAUUGUAAUAAGUCCACUUGAAAUCCUUUCACUCUGAUCAAGCGGAGGGAAAUCUGGUGCAGAGCCACUGACCCGUCCAUGCUGCAGCUGAAACUCCACU
rnacentral:rRNA from 1 species